rnacentral:rRNA from 1 species
UACGAAGGGUGCAAGCGUUAAUCGGAAUUACUGGGCGUAAAGCGCGCGUAGGUGGUUUGAUAAGUUGGAUGUGAAAGCCCCGGGGCUCAACCUGGGAAUUGCAUCCAAAACUGUCUGACUAGAGUACGGUAGAGGGUAGUGGAAUUUCCUGUGUAGCGGUGAAAUGCGUAGAUAUAGGAAGGAACACCAGUGGCGAAGGCGACUACCUGGACUGAUACUGACACUGAGGUGCGAAAGCGUGGGGAGCAAACAGG